rnacentral:rRNA from 1 species
AGCGUUGUCCGGAAUUAUUGGGCGUAAAGAGUACGUAGGCGGUUUGUUAAGUUUGGGCUUAAAGACUGGGGCUCAACCCCAGGAGUGGCUCGAAAACUGACAGACUAGAGGAUGGCAGAGGAAAGUGGAAUUCCCAGUGUAGCGGUGAAAUGCGUAGAUAUUGGGAGGAACACCAGUGGCGAAAGCGACUUUCUGGGCCAUUCCUGACGCUGAGGUUCGAAAGCUCGGGGAGCAAACAGG